rnacentral:rRNA from 1 species
UACGUAGGGACCGAGCGUUGUCCGGAUUCAUUGGGCGUAAAGAGCUCGUAGGCGGCCACUCAAGUCGAAUGUGAAACCUCGAGGCUCAACCUCGAGCCUGCAUUCGAUACUGGGCGGCUAGAGUCUGGUAGGGGGAUCUGGAAUUCCUGGUGUAGCGGUGGAAUGCGCAGAUAUCAGGAGGAACACCGGUGGCGAAGGCGGGAUCCUGGGCCGACACUGACGCUGAGGCGCGAAAGCCAGGGGAGCGAACGGG